rnacentral:lncRNA from 13 species
AUGAAGAAGGACCUGUUUGCUUUGCCUUCUACAAUGAUUAUGUCUCAUGUCUACUUAACCAGGCUGGAAGAGGGAAGGAGACAGGAAUCAUGCCCACUAAUGCUCCUCUCUACACAGGAAUAUGGAACCUGCAAACAGACAAAAAAGUUAAACACUUCCAAUCCAGAGAUGCCUCUGCAUUUACAACUCACUACAAAGAAGAUAGCUUCAGUUUUCCACAGGGAAGCAGAUUUACUACAAAAUAGUAAGUAGAAACAACUCCUUAUACAACUCUUUUUCUAAGAAAGGUAAUCAGAUAAUCAGAGGGUAGAAAAGUACCACUCAGAAAGCAAAAUGGAAUAGACCAAUUAUUCUAAAGAUAAAGGUGGUGGUUGCAAGCCACUUCCAAACAAGUGACAAACAAGUGUUGAAAAUAUGCCUACCGUUAUGAUCUAACCAUUCCGCUCCAUGGUAUUUACCCAAGCAAAAAGAAAGCCUAUAUUUAUACAAAGAUUUUAAUAUUCAGAGCAGGUUUGUGAUUAUGAAAAAUUGGAAACAACCCAAGUGUCCAUCAAGAGGCAAAUAGGUACACAAAUCUUAGUAUAUACAUACAUUGUAAUCCUACAGAAAUAAAAAGGAAUGAAC